rnacentral:rRNA from 1 species
CAGGCCUUCGGGCGCUGACGAGUGGCGGACGGGUGAGUAACGCGUAGGAAUCUGCCUUAUAGUGGGGGACAACGUGGGGAAACCCACGCUAAUACCGCAUACGCCCUACGGGGGAAAGCGGGGGAUCGUAAGACCUCGCGCUAUGAGAUGAGCCUGCGUUAGAUUAGCUAGUUGGUAGGGUAAAGGCCUACCAAGGCGACGAUCUAUAGCUGGUCUGAGAGGACGAUCAGCCACACUGGGACUGAGACACGGCCCAGACUCCUACGGGAGGCAGCAGUGGGGAAUAUUGGACAAUGGGCGCAAGCCUGAUCCAGCAAUACCGCGUGUGUGAAGAAGGCCUUAGGGUUGUAAAGCACUUUCAAUGGGGAGGAAAACCUGCCGGUCAAUACCCGGUAGCUUGACAUUACCUAUAGAAGAAGCACCGGCUAACUCCGUGCCAGCAGCCGCGGUAAUACGGAGGGUGCGAGCGUUAAUCGGAAUUACUGGGCGUAAAGCGUGCGUAGGCGGCUCGUUAAGUCAGAUGUGAAAGCCCUGGGCUCAACCU